CGAACGCGUCUUGGUUAUUGAUGUUAAGUGCUUGCAUUUAAUUGAUUUCCAUUGAGACGAGUGGCGAACUGGUGAGUAACACGUGGGUAACCUUCCCUUGAAGUAGGGGAUAACACUUGGAAACAGGUGCUAAUACCGUAUAACAACCAAAACCACCUGGUUUUGGUUUAAAAGAUGGCUUCGGCUAUCACUUUAGGAUGGACCCGCGGCGUAUUAGCUUGUUGGUAAGGUAACGGCCUACCAAGGCAAUGAUACGUAGCCGACCUGAGAGGGUAAUCGGCCACAUUGGGACUGAGACACGGCCCAAACUCCUACGGGAGGCAGCAGUAGGGAAUCUUCCACAAUGGACGAAAGUCUGAUGGAGCAACGCCGCGUGAGUGAUGAAGGGUUUCGGCUCGUAAAACUCUGUUGUUGGAGAAGAACAGGUGUGAGAGUAACUGUUCACAUCUUGACGGUAUCCAACCAGAAAGCCACGGCUAACUACGUGCCAGCAGCCGCGGUAAUACGUAGGUGGCAAGCGUUGUCCGGAUUUAUUGGGCGUAAAGCGAGCGCAGGCGGUUUCUUAGGUCUGAUGUGAAAGCCUUCGGCUUAACCGGAGAAGUGCAUCGGAAACCAGGAGACUUGAGUGCAGAAGAGGACAGUGGAACUCCAUGUGUAGCGGUGAAAUGCGUAGAUAUAUGGAAGAACACCAGUGGCGAAGGCGGCUGUCUGGUCUGUAACUGACGCUGAGGCUCGAAAGCAUGGGUAGCGAACAGGAUUAGAUACCCUGGUAGUCCAUGCCGUAAACGAUGAGUGCUAAGUGUUGGAGGGUUUCCGCCCUUCAGUACUGCAGCUAACGCAU
rnacentral:rRNA from 1 species